GGAGAAGAUAAAGCAGAAAAAAAAAAAAAGAUUGGCAACAGUUGUUAGCUCAGGUGCCAAUCUAAAAGAAAAAGAAAAAAAAUUAACUGGUUGCAAUUAAUGUUUAGAAGAGUGGCUCACUUACAUAUUUGAGUGUAUCAUAAUUGUUUUUAUUUAAGAUCUCUAAAUAAUAUAUACUACCCUGCUUUCGCCACGUUACAGCCAUACUUCCUUAUUUUUAAAUCCCUACAUUUCAUGUAGGACAAGCCUUCCGUAGACCUAUGAAAUAGUUACUCCUCAGAUCUGAAUUCUCUUCAGCAGCUGUAUGCAGGAGCUAUUCUUGAAGUGUGUGGAUGAAAAUUGGGGAGGUUCCCUCAAGUCCAGGCUUUCGUCAGGAGUGAUAAACCCAAACUAUUCAGAGGACUACAAAUCAAGUAUGUUCGUGGUUCAGACCCUGUACUAAAGCUUUUGGACGACAAUGGGAACAUUGCUGAAGAACUAAGCAUCCUCAAAUGGAACACAGACAGUGUAGAAGAGUUCCUGAGUGAGAAGUUGGAACGCAUAUAAAAGUUGCUUAAAUUUUGUCCUAUCCUUUUGUUACCUUUGUAUCUAAUGAAAUAUUACAGCUCCUAGAAAAUAAUUUAGUUUUGCUUCCUUCCAUUGCUCAGUCUUUGCCUGUGGGGCAUUGAACAUCUGAUUAAAAGUUGAAGUGGCAGCACAGCCCAUGAUAUCUAAGGAGUUGGCAAGCUUAACAAACCUGUUUUUUAUAAAUUUCCAUUCUCCUACAUUUGUUGAUACCACUAACAAAAUGUUUGUAUUAGACUUGUGGUUAAUUAUGCAAAUGAAAGUUUGUGAUAAUUGGUCCAGUUUUACAAACAACAGAUUUUUAAAUUAGGGAGGUUAUUAAGGGAGAUGAUUGCUAUGCUUCCUGUGCUGUGUGCUCCUUGAAAGUAAUGACAGAAAACUACAAAGCAAGUAAGAUAUUCUAGCCUCCACAGAUUGCCUGCUCCUCCAAUCCGCUCAUAUUUUUGUAUUACCCAGCUUUCCUUUAAAUAGAAACGUUGUAGUUUAUAAUGAAUGCACUGCAUAAAAACUUUAUGGCUUCAUUAUUAUGAAACAGAUUCAAGAUCUACAGUAAGAGUGAAACAUUCACAAAGAUUCGCGUUAAUGAAGACUACACAGAAAACCUUUCUGAGGAUUUGUGUGGAUCUGAUAUCCGGCAAAUUUUUGUGCUUUACAUUCUUACAGAAAAGUCAAUUUAAAAAUAAAUCAUUUGUAAGACCAAAAUAUAAAUAAAAG
rnacentral:lncRNA from 1 species